rnacentral:lncRNA from 1 species
AUGUAGAUACAGGAAAACAAGCUCAGGGCUCCAACUGAUUCUACAUCAUGAUAUCCUUUCAGGUCCUGCACACCAGUGAAACUAAUGAGGUCAGCUGAUCUGAAGGACCCCAUCGACAUCAGCAGUUCUGAAGGAUCACACAAGGAGCUGACUCACUGAAUGCAGUUUCCACAUCCUGACGACUUCAUCCCUUUGACCCCAACCACUCAAUGACCCCAAUUUUCCAGUCCCUCAUUCUCCACAAUCCCCUUAAAAACCCCAGCCCAGAACUCCUCAGGGAGAUGGACUUGAAGAUCUCCUCUCAUCUCCUUGCUCAGCCACCCUGCAAUCAUUAAACUCUUUCUCUGCUGCAA